UACAACGAAACUGCGAAUGGCUCGGUAAAACAGCAAUAAUUUAUUCGGGGGUAAUUGCUACUUGGAUAACCGUAGUAAAGCUAGAGCUAAUACGUGCUACAAAGGCGAGAUUCGCUCUCGUGGUACUAAGUAUUAGGUACAACCCAAUUUUUUUGGUGAUUCAUACUUAUCUUCUGAUCGCACUCUGUGCGACGCCCCGAAUAAAUUUCUGACCUAUCAACUUCGAUGGUAAGGUAGUGUCUUACCAUGGUUGUGACGGGUAACGGACCGUGGGUGCGGGAUUCCGGAGAGGGAGCCUGAGAAACGGCUACCACAUCCAAGGAAGGCAGCAGGCGCGCAACUUACCCAAUCCGAACUUCGGGAGGUAGUGACAAAAAAUAUCAAUAAGGGGACCGAUGGUCUUCUUAAUUGGAAUGAAAACAAUCUAAACACCUUAUUAAGGAACCAGCAGAGGGCAAGUCUGGUGCCAGCAGCCGCGGUAAUUCCAGCUCUGUAAGCGUAUACCAAAGUUGUUGCAGUUAAAACGCUCGUAGUCGAACUUUGGCGUGAGUUACGGAGACUCCUAAUGGACGUUGAAGUAACUCCGCCUUUGUGGAGGGGGGCGCGGUGGUACUUCAUUGUGUUGCUGCGUUUCCGCCACUGUUUACUGUGAAAAAAUUAGAGUGUUCAAAGCGAGCGUUUGCCAUGAAUACAUUAGCAUGGAAUAAUAGAAUAGGACCUGGUCCUGUUUUGUUGGUUUGUCUGUAUCAGGUAAUGAUUAACAGGGACGGUCGGGGGCAUUUGUAUUCCAGCGUUAGAGGUGAAAUUCUUGGAUCGCUGGAAGACAAACAGCUGCGAAAGCGUCUGCCAAGGACGUUUUCAUUGAUCAAGAACGAAAGUAAGGGGAUCGAAGACGAUCAGAUACCGUCGUAGUCUUUACUAUAAACGAUGAUGACUAAGGAUCAGCCGUGGCCUAUUGGUACGGUUGGCACUUUCCGGGAAACCAAAGUUUUUGAUUUCUGGGGGGAGUAUGGUCGCAAGUCUGAAACUUAAAGGAAUUGACGGAAGGGCAUCACCGGGUGUGGAGCCUGCGGCUUAAUUUGACUCAACACGGGAAAACUUACCAGGUCCAGACAUAGUAAGGAUUGACAGAUUGAGAGCUCUUUCUUGAUUCUAUGGUUGGUG
rnacentral:rRNA from 1 species